GCGCCCGUAGCUCAGUCGGAUAGAGCGGGUGCCUCCUAAGCACCAGGUCGGAGGUUCGAAUCCUCCCGGGCGCACCA
rnacentral:tRNA from 1 species